CCUAGCCUCAUAGACUGGGACAACUAUUGGAAACGAUAGCUAAUACCGGAUAACAGUAUUUCUCGCAUGAGAGAUAUUUAAAAGUUGGUUAUGCUAACACUAUGAGAUGGCUUUGCGGUGCAUUAGCUAGUUGGUGGGGUAAAGGCCUACCAAGGCGACGAUGCAUAGCCGACCUGAGAGGGUGAUCGGCCACACUGGGACUGAGACACGGCCCAG
rnacentral:rRNA from 1 species